GGGCUUGUACUGGUUUCGACAGGCCGGUUGAAGACGGUGAAGCUAUCCGUGGACUGUGACCACGUUAAAACGCAGAUUUUAAAUUAAACGCUGAUAAUAAAGAAUUAGCUUACGCUGCCUAAUUAAUGGCGGCUGCUGAAUGUAAGUGUCCUGCAGCUUAGGUUCAGUAUCAUCCUUUGCAGGGAACCUUAUCUGUUAAGCUUUGCGCAGGUAAGAGAUUGUAUGAAGCUACCGAAUCUUUGUGGGUGUCAGUUCCCACAUGGAUGAGGGAAUAAUUUUCCUUACAGGAAAAAUUUUUCCUUGCAGGAAAAUGGAACAACUGACUAUGAUAGUAGAAGAACGUGGGAUUCCGGUUUGGACGCGGGUUCGACUCCCGCCAGGUCCAUUG
rnacentral:tmRNA from 1 species